GGACUUCAGAAAGAUCCUGUCACUUCCAUACCUACCACCUGGUCCAGAGCCUCAGUAAAUACUGCUUUGAGCUCUCAAAGAUCAUGUGCAACAAUGCUAUGAUUCAGGAUCAGGAAAUCAUUGAAGUAGAAAUGUCCUAAAGAUGAGCAAUGCCCUGAUUCUUUCUUGUUCACAGACAACUAGGGUAUUUGAGCACAAGAUGACAGCAACUCAACUCUAGUUUUAUUAAUCCAUCUGGGACAGAGGGGAUAAGGUAGGUCCUGGGCUUGUGCCUUCAUACAGGAAUUGAUUACAUUCUGACGGAUUCUGC
rnacentral:lncRNA from 1 species